ensembl:lncRNA
AAAAGAAGGAUUUCUGCCAAGUUACCUGGGUUUUCUGAAUAACUCUAACAGUAGGCAUUUGAGUGGCAAUGUUUUCACCAACCAAUCCUGGAGCAAAUAACUCAAAAGCUCCACUCUUUAGGGAAACAGUAGUUGCCAACCAAAACCCCUGCAGAGAGGUCAAGUUCCUGAGGAAAAGGGGAUUCCGAGGAACCGCCCAGGACAUCCUGAAUCUCUAUCUUAAACAACUAUUUUCUUUUAGUGAGAAGUCUUUGCUCUUUUUUUCCCAUAAUGCAUAAGUCUACAGAAAUUCAAGAUUGUCUGCCUUUUAUUUUAAAACCUUUACUGAAUUUGCCAGUUUCCAGAAGAGAGACUUCCUUUCCAAACCAUCCUAAAGAUAUAAAAUUAUACCUGGAUGAAAAGGGCUGUUACUUCAAAAGAAGAGAAUGCAAGCUGAUCUAUUUACUCCGGGCAGAGAAGAAUGAAGCAAGGGCGCCCAGGUGCUGCAAGAAAACAUUCGGGACGUGGAGCACGGCCAAGAUCACAGCCCACCUGAGUGAGAGAUGAAACCCAGGUACACCCAGCCUAGGGAGCUCCGGCUCCUUCUUGAAAGUAAACAGAGGGUCGGAAAGACUUCCCAGCCACAGGUGCGGAGACACGGUUCCCCUGCCCGCUUGGGGAUAAACCACGUGAAUACAGCCUCCAGAAACCCAAGAAGCAUGGGAUGCCCGGCCUGACUCCGCCAGAGGCGCAGACUCCGGGGCAGGUGCUGUGGCGUCGCGGGGGCCGAGGUUCCAAUACCCACUCCGCCCGUGCGCCCUCGUCCACUCAUUACCGCCCAGAGCAUCAGUUUCCCCAAGAGGACCAUCCUGUCCCCUAAGGCGCUGGUGUGAAGGAUAAACCAGGCGGCAGAAGCAAGCACAUAAAGGAUGACUGUGACUAUUAUCAUUGUUAAGUCGCCGAGUCCUGUCCGACACCUUGGUCACCCUUGGACUGUAGCCCUCCAGGCUUCUCUGUCCAUGGGGAUUCUCCAGAGGCCCAAGACGGAGGGAGGGGUGCCGAAAACGCAAACUUCCUCGGAGGAUCAAACUAACUCAAGCUCCACUUAGGGGACUGGGGAGACCUUUGUCCGCGUUCGACCCCGCGGCCCGCGCCACCUUUCCCGCGGCGGGCGCGGGGCGGGGCAGCCGGCGGCGCGGGCCGGGCGGCGGG